CUCCCCGACGCGCAGCCCCCUCCCCCUGCGCCUCUGAUUGGCUGUCGGCGGCCUGGGCGGGUUCUCGGCAGCCAAUGAGAAGGUCAGAAGCCCGUGUCUCUCCGGGCCGUCGGAAUCCAGCCCUGUCGCAACCCUGUCCGGAGCCCGAGAAUCACCUCUCUUGCCUCACCUUUUCCACCUUUGUACACAGUGAAUUAGGAAAAGCGACCGAGUUAUCGCCAUCGCCUCCUGCGGUAAACUUCGAACCCGUUGAGAACGGGGACCGACUGUGGUCCUCGCUCACCAGGGCGCUAGAGAACACACGCGCCCAAGAACGGUGCAAACUUGCUGGAGGCCACACGUUACAUCGGACGUUAAGAAUUAUUUACUGAGGGCCUCUGAGCGCCAAGCACUGAGUAGAAGCCACACAUUUGUUGUUACCAAUUCAACAAGCUUUCAUGGAGCGUGUGCUGUGUGCAGGUUUGGGGGCGGGGGCGGUGCCGUGGGCAUACACAAAAAUCUCUCUCUCUUUCUGUCUUCAAAGCGUCCCAUCUCCCAGCCAGCACGUUUAACUACGAUCUGCGUUCCCACUCUUCAUUUUACAGCCAAGGAGACAGACCCAGCAAAGAAACUUGUCCUAACAUGCACAGUCAGGCUGGAAACGCACAGUGUAGACGGAGAAACAGCGUAUGUCAGCUUCCAUCCUGUGUGUGCACCAGGAAGAGGGGGUGGUUGGGGAGGGGCGGGGGAGAUGCCCCGGAAGCCGCGAAGCCGCGAGGAGGAGCCCUUCGCCAAGACAAGGCUCCUGCGGGCUAGAGGCGGGAACCGGAGAAAGAGCUUUGAAGGUUGGGAGCUGGGAAAGCAUGGAAUUAGGUUUGCACUUGCUGUUAUGGCCAAAGGAAAACAACGACGAACCAGGGCCAGCCUGAAGCAAUGGUCAGGACAUCUCUCCCCACGAAGAUGAUCCAGGGUAUCUAGAAAACCCUGUGGAAUGUAGCUUUAAGGUCUGAAGUUGCCUCUGUUCGAGCUCCUCACCUUGACUGCCCCGGUAGGCUCACAACCGCUGGGCUUGCCAUUCUUCUUGGAGAGAGGAGGGAUUUGUUUUUUCUCAAACCAUUUUUAAGUAUAUUAUCUUAGUUAAUACGAUUUACUUACAACUCUUUUUUUAAUUUAAAUUUUAGUUAACAUGCAGUGUAGGUUUCAGGAGUAGAAUUCAGUGAUUCAUCACAACAAUAAUUCUUUAAUAGUCUCUUUUAAUAUCUUGUAUAUUCUUUACCAUAUGUCUUUUCACUGCAUUUGUUUUAUGCUAUUUUAUCCUUUUGAGUAGCCUUUCCAAUUUAUUUGCUUUGUCAAAAUGACACUAGCAGGCUUUCUAAUUAUAAGAGUAAUUUCUAUUUUUUGUGUGUGUGAGGGAAGGAUGUUUGUAUAUUCUUAGAAAAAAAUAUGGACAAACCUAAUAAUUGUUGUUACCAGGAUACAUGCCUGCUUUAUAUUCACUUUAUGGUUCUUUUGGAGUAUUUACCUUUCUCUGAGCCAAAUAUCAUAUAUUAUUAAUAAAAAAUGAAGAUUCCAGGGGGAACCCGGGUGGCUCAGUCGGUUGUGUUGGACUCUUGAUUUUGGCUCAGGUCACGAUCUCAGGGUUCUGAGUUCCAGCCCCUCGUCUAGCUCAAUGCUGACAGUGUGGAGCCUGCUCAGGAUUCUCCCUCUCUCUCUGCUCCUCCCCUGCUUGUGCUCUCUCUGUCUCUCUCAAAAAUAAACAUUAAAAAUAUAUAUAUUUUAACUAUAUAUAUAUAAUUGUUAUUAAAAUAGGUACCAUCAAAGACAUAAAGAAAAAAGUAAAAUAGUUCAAAAGAGAUAAACCCUGCUCUUGUUUUUUGUGUGUAUCGUUAUAUAUAAUGUCAUAUGUAUUUCUAUAUUAUGCUACGUAUGCUAUAUUCAUGUUAUAUAUCGUAUAUUUAUAUAUUUAUAUUAUAGGUUAUAUGUAGCAUAUUUGUAUAUUUCUAUUAUAAAUACAUAUCAUCUGGACAAUAUAUAUAUGAUAUACUGCAAUGAGAUUUUACAAACUCUUUUUUCUAAUUACAGGUAUAUUGUGGGUAUUUUCCACAUAAAUAGUAGACAUCUACAUUAUUAUUUUUUUGAGAGAGAAAGAGAGGGUGCACAUGGGAGAGAGGGGCAGAGGGAAAGAGAGAGAGAGAGAGAAUCCCAAGCAGGCUUCGCACCGAACAUGUCUCAAUCCCCCGACCCCGGGAUCACAACCUGAGCUAAAAUCAAGACUUGGACCAACCGAACCACCCAGCCACUCUACAUUAUUUUUUUUAAUACUUGCCCAAACUGAGUUGAGCCAGGGGAAGUAGCUGCACUGGGUCCCUCUGCAUCCCAGAGUUUGCCGGGACCAAGGAUGGGCCUGCCCCCUAAGAUCCAGAUGUGAGCCAGCAUGAAGACAGCGUCAACAAGGAGUCAUCUAGAUCCCGCCUAAGAGAGCCAACUGCAUGGACUAUAUCUUCAGUUACCGAAUGGAGACUGUGCCUUCAAACGACCCUAGGACUGAAUGUCACCGAAGAGAGAGCAGCAAGUUCUGGGUCUGCUGGAUUUUUACCCGGAGAGGGGAAUAAUUCCCACCAUGAGUAAAUGGUAAAGGAAUGGCGAGAGGGGAACAAAAACGAAGUUGCGUUCGAUUACCGUCAGAGUUGUGCUUGUUCAAAACAUUUUGGACAAAGACCCUCAGCCCGCGAGGAGGGUGCACAAUACGAGGGCUCUCGGAAGCCCCCCUUCUCUGCAGGGCCUGUGGCGCCCCCAGCCCUCUGUACAUGACCAGCCACCUGAGCAGCUCGGUGGGGCUACAGGCCUCAAGUCCUCACAGUAAAUGAAGAAGCUGGGGGGGACAGCAUGUGACCUCGCCCGGUGUCACUUGAGCAGUAAGAAGUGGCAAGACAGCCGAGGCAGGUCUAUAUUUGGGCUUUCACUCACGGCAGGCGUUGCUAUUUGCAGUGGGAGUCAGCUCAUGUUACCCGGCUUGCAGAGUCCCCGCUGUAAAACAGGGCCUCCGGGCACGCAGAGGUCACCCGGAGGGAAAUCCCAUCCCCACCGAGGGCAGAGCAGUUUUCUAGCCCUUCCCCGGAGUCCUCAGAGGUAAAAAAAGAAGAACUACGGACCCUUAAAUCAGCAGGCAAGUUUUUGGAUAAUCGUUAUUUUUCUCAAGUGAAAGGUAUUAUUAGAAACUCAGUAACUUAAUGCCACAACGUGAAUGCAAUAUCUCUCCUUUAGGGGAAAGAGGUAUCAUCUUCAAUUGCAGGUGUGUAAAUGACAGUAAACAGUGUGAAUAUUUCCUGUG